UACGGAGGAUGCAAGCGUUAUCCGGAUUCAUUGGGUUUAAAGGGUGCGUAGGCGGACUAUUAAGUCAGUGGUGAAAGCCUGCAGCUUAACUGCAGAACUGCCAUUGAUACUGAUAGUCUUGAGUUUGGUUAAGGUAGGCGGAAUGUGUAAUGUAGCGGUGAAAUGCUUAGAUAUUACACAGAACACCGAUUGCGAAGGCAGCUUUCUAAGCUGGAUCUGACGCUGAGGCACGAAAGCGUGGGUAGCGAACA
rnacentral:rRNA from 1 species